UACGGAGGAUGCUAGCGUUAUCCGGAUUUAUUGGGUUUAAAGGGUGCGUAGGCGGACUGUCAAGUCAGCGGUAAAAUUGAGAGGCUCAACCUCUUCCCGCCGUUGAAACUGGUGGUCUUGAGUGGAUGAGAAGUACGCGGAAUGCGUGGUGUAGCGGUGAAAUGCAUAGAUAUCACGCAGAACUCCGAUUGCGAAGGCAGCGUACCGGCAUCCAACUGACGCUGAGGCACGAAAGCGUGGGGAUCAAACAGG
rnacentral:rRNA from 1 species